CUACACAUGGUGGAAACUGCAUCUUGCCCUGCUGCUAAGAUUAAUGCUUCAGAAGUCUGUGGAGACAUAGAGAGGUAUUUCUAAAGAUGGAUGUCAAAACAUCACCAAACCUCACCCAUAUUGUAUGCGACAAUCUCCAGAACCUGACUGAAGUGAACAGCACUUUCAUCGUUGGC